rnacentral:rRNA from 1 species
UUGGUUAAGCUACUAAGAGCACACGGAGGAUGCCUAGGCGCUAGGAGCCGAUGAAGGACGUGGCGAACAACGAAACUGCCUCGGGGAGCUGUAAGCAAGCUUUGAUCCGGGGGUGUCCGAAUGGGGAAACCCGGCUGAUGUAAUAGUCAGUCACUUCUAUCUGAAUACAUAGGAUAGCAAGAGGCAUACCAGGGGAACUGAAACAUCUAAGUACCCUGAGGAAGAGAAAACAAGAGUGAUUCCGUCAGUAGCGGCGAGCGAACGCGGAACAGCCUAAACCAGAGAGCUUGCUCUCUGGGGUUGUGGGACGUCUCACAUGGAGUUACAAAGGAACAUAUUAGACGAAGAGGUCUGGAAAGGCCCGCGAUACAAGGUAAAAGCCCUGUAGUCGAAAGUAUAUUCCCUCCGAGACGGAUCCCGAGUAGUGCGGGGCACGUGAAACCCCGUAUGAAUCCAGCAGGACCAUCUGCUAAGGCUAAAUACUCCCUAGCGACCGAUAGUGAAACAGUACCGUGAGGGAAAGGUGAAAAGCACCCCGGAAGGGGAGUGAAAUAGAACCUGAAACCGUGUGCUUACAAGAAGUCAGAGCCCGAUCUAUGGGUGAUGGCGUGCCUUUUGUAGAAUGAACCGGCGAGUUACGUUCCCAUGCAAGGUUAAGGCGAGAAGCCGUAGCCGCAGCGAAAGCGAGUCUGAAUAGGGCGAUAUAGUAUGUGGUCGUAGACCCGAAACCGUGUGAUCUACCCCUGUCCAGGGUGAAGGUGCGGUAACACGCACUGGAGGCCCGAACCCACGUAUGUUGAAAAAUGCGGGGAUGAGGUGGGGGUAGCGGAGAAAUUCCAAUCGAACUCGGAGAUAGCUGGUUCUCCCCGAAAUAGCUUUAGGGCUAGCCUCGGAAUGAGAGUCGUGGAGGUAGAGCACUGAUUGGGUGCGGGGCCCGCAAGGGUUACCAAGCUCAGUCAAACUCCGAAUGCCAUAGACUUAUAUCCGGGAGUCAGACAGUGAGUGCUAAGAUCCAUUGUCAAAAGGGAAACAGCCCAGACCAUCAGCUAAGGUCCCCAAGUGUGUGUUAAGUGGGAAAGGAUGUGGAGUUGCACAGACAACCAGGAUGUUGGCUUAGAAGCAGCCACCAUUUAAAGAGUGCGUAAUAGCUCACUGGUCGAGUGACUCUGCGCCGAAAAUGUAACGGGGCUAAACACACCACCGAAGCUAUGGCUUGAAUCGACUUCACUGCUUCUUUGAGGUAGUGAAUACUGAGAUGAACAUUUUUGUCAGGCUUGAGAUGCAAUCAAGGAUGACCAAAUGCACUCAGGGGAUAAACACACUUCGAAGGCGGAGUGAAGUCGAUUCAGGGGUAGGGGAGCGUUGUAUGUAGGUUGAAGGUGUACCGUAAGGAGCGCUGGACAGCAUACAAGUGAGAAUGCCGGUAUGAGUAACGAAAAGAUCAGUGAGAAUCUGAUCCGCCGAAAGCCCAAGGUUUCCUGAGGAAGGCUCGUCCGCUCAGGGUAAGUCGGGACCUAAGGUGAGGCCGAAAGGCGUAAUCGAAGGACAACAGGUUGAAAUUCCUGUACCACCGUAAACCGUUAUGAACGAUGGGGUGACGCAGGAGGGUAGUGACGCGGACUGAUGGAUGUCCGUCCAAGCAGUGAGGCUGAUGUGUAGGCAAAUCCGCACAUCGUAAGGCUGGGCUGUGAUGGGGAGUGAAAAUUACAGUAGCGAAGGUCAUGAUCUCACACUGCCAAGAAAAGCCUCUAGUCAGGUGAAGGUGCCCGUACCGCAAACCGACACAGGUAGGCGAGAAGAGAAUUCUAAGGCGCGCGGAAGAACUCUCGUUAAGGAACUCGGCAAAAUGACCCCGUAACUUCGGGAGAAGGGGUGCCUCGGUAGGGUGAAUAGCCCGAGGGGGCCGCAGUGAAAAGGCCCAAGCGACUGUUUAGCAAAAACACAGGUCUGUGCGAAGCCGUAAGGCGAAGUAUACGGGCUGACGCCUGCCCGGUGCUGGAAGGUUAAGGGGAGCGGUUAGGAGCAAUCCGAAGCUGUGAACCGAAGCCCCAGUAAACGGCGGCCGUAACUAUAACGGUCCUAAGGUAGCGAAAUUCCUUGUCAGGUAAAUUCUGACCCGCACGAAUGGCGUAACGACUUGGGCGCUGUCUCAACGAGAGAUCCGGUGAAAUUUUAAUACCUGUGAAGAUGCAGGUUACCCGCGACAAGACGGAAAGACCCCAUGGAGCUUUACUGCAGCUUGAUAUUGGAUUUGGGUACGAUCUGUACAGGAUAGGUGGGAGCCUUCGAAGCAUGAGCGCCAGCUUGUGUGGAGGCGACGUUGGGAUACCACCCUGAUCGUAUCUAGGUUCUAACUUGGUACCGUGAUCCGGUGCGAGGACAGUGUCAGGCGGGCAGUUUGACUGGGGCGGUCGCCUCCUAAAGAGUAACGGAGGCGCCCCAAGGUUCCCUCAGAAUGGUUGGAAAUCAUUCGAAGAGUGCAAAGGCAUAAGGGAGCUUGACUGCGAGACCUACAAGUCGAGCAGGGACGAAAGUCGGGCUUAGUGAUCCGGUGGUACCGCAUGGAAGGGCCAUCGCUCAACGGAUAAAAGCUACCCUGGGGAUAACAGGCUUAUCUCCCCCAAGAGUCCACAUCGACGGGGAGGUUUGGCACCUCGAUGUCGGCUCAUCGCAUCCUGGGGCUGAAGUAGGUCCCAAGGGUUGGGCUGUUCGCCCAUUAAAGCGGUACGCGAGCUGGGUUCAGAACGUCGUGAGACAGUUCGGUCCCUAUCUGUCGUGGGCGUAGGAAAUUUGAGAGGAGCUGUCCUUAGUACGAGAGGACCGGGAUGGACGUACCGCUGGUGCACCAGUUGUUCCGCCAGGAGCAUGGCUGGGUAGCUACGUACGGAAGGGAUAAGCGCUGAAAGCAUCUAAGCGUGAAGCCCCCCUCAAGAUGAGAUUUCCCAACUAGUAAGACCCCUUGAAGACGACGAGGUAGAUAGGUUGGAGGUGGAAGUGCAGCAAUGCAUGGAGCUGACCAAUACUAAUCGGUCGAGGGCUUAUCCAAA